rnacentral:rRNA from 1 species
UACGGAGGAUCCAAGCGUUAUCCGGAUUCACUGGGUUUAAAGGGUGCGUAGGUGGAAUGACAAGUCAGUGGUGAAAACCUGCAGCUUAACUGUAGAACCGCCAUUGAUACUGUUAUUCUUGAGUACAUUUGAUGUGAGUGGAAUGUGUCGUGUAGCGGUGAAAUGCUUAGAUAUGACACAGAACACCAAUUGCGAAGGCAGCUUGCUAUGGUAUAAUUGACGCUGAGGCACGAAAGCGUGGGGAUCAAACAGG